AUGUCAACCCCAAUCUUUCAUAAAUUAAAUCCAAAUUUCGAAAUACAAGUAACAUGCAUUUCCAUUCUACAUGAGCAUAUAAAAUAGAAAAGGUGAAUAUAUAGUUGUUAUCUAAAGAUCAUCUUAAGAUAUUUCUCAAAUGUUGAUAUGGAUAUAUCUUCAUGAAAAAUGGUAAUGUUUGCCCCAGUGUUAACCUAAUUGUACAUAAACUAAACCCUAUCAACUAAUCGCAGAAAUAUAAACCCUAAUCCAAAGUCAAACCCAAUCUUUCAUAAACGAAACUCUAACCACUAAUCACUAAACCCUACAUGGAAAUAUAAACCCUAGACCAAUGUGAACCCCAAACUUUUAUAAACUAAACCCAAAUUUCGAAAUUUCCAUUCUACAUGAUCAUAUAGAAUAGAAACGGUAACAAUCAAUAUAGCACAGUGCAUAUAUAUUAUUCAAAUUUUGAAGUGUAUGAUUAAUUGGAAUGGGCUAAUGCUUACACCAAAUUUCGAUUGAUUGUAGCGAAAAGAAAUGAAGAUUGACAAUAUUUGAGAAAAGAAGUGGAAGAGACAACAUCAUAUAAAUAUCAUUCACAUUCAACAUCACAUUGUAUUCUUUUUAAUUUGAUGUCAUAAUAAAUUAUAUUUCAUUUAAAUUCAAUAUAUUAUUUCUCUUUACAAAAUCAUAUACAGACUAAUAUAAAACAUAUGUAUACACCAAUACAGAACUCAUA
rnacentral:lncRNA from 1 species